GUUAAUCUCACUGUAGGAAAAAAGCAGAAUAUAGAAUACAGUUUCACUAAACAGCCUGAUUUUUCUCUACCCUUCAUAAAAACAACUUUUAAUGAAUGUGCUGAGGGCAGUUCCUACUACAUUUUCCUGGUGCCUUUCUCUCAGCAAUCUUUGGACUCUAUAUCACAUUUACAGUGCUUUCCAUUGGAUCAAUUGUUUGCAAAAUCAAUCUCUUCUGUUUUCUUUUCAUUUUUCAACUUUUAUUUAAAGUGCCCCAAUUUUAUGUACUAUUCCAUAGACUAUCACCUGCCCGGCUACAGUCAUUGUAUUUUAAACCAUUUCUUACUGAGAUUGGCAGGCAUGACAGCCAUAGCUUGACCCUCAGCUCCAGCUCACCCCAGUGAUCUUCAGCUUCAUUAGGUUUUUCUGUCUAGGAAUUGCCUUUACUUUCUUUUGUGCUCAGAAAUGCUUUUGAGAGGAUACUUAUAAUAUUUUGUCAACACUGCCCAGUUUUUGCCAUGGUAUACAUUAAAUCAGUUUUCUAAUUUCUUCUAUGAAAUUGAUAUUUUCCAGUUUUUAACUUCCACUUUGGUCAAUAUUUGUCAACUCAUACUAAAAGGAAAUCAGGAUUCCCUCUACAGUUUCAGAUCUGCUGUCAAACACAUGCUUGUGAUAUUCACUUAUAAUUCUAUCACCAUAUAACUUAUAUAAGUUUAUGUCUCUUUCGACACAGAAAUUUUGAUUUUUGCUUUCUGUACACUUUUAAAGGUUUAUUUAUUUAUUUGAAAGUUAGAGUUACACAGAGAGAGAAGGAGAGGAAGAGAGAGAGGUCUUCCAUCUGCUGGUUCACUCCCCCAAUUGACUGCAAUGUCCAGAGCUGCGCCAAUCCGAAGCCAGGAGUCAGGAGCUUCCUCCGGAUCUCCCACGUGGGUGCAGGGGCAUUAGGACUUGGGCCAUCUUUCACUGCUUUCUUAGGCCAUAGCAGAGAGCUAGAUUGGAAGUAGAGCAGCCAGGACUCAAACCAGCGCCCAUAUUAGAUGCAGGUGGUAGCUUUAUCGCCUAUGCCACAGUGCUGGCCCCUAUAGCUUUUUCCUUAAUCAAUCUUACAAAGAGGUUACCUAACUUAAAGUUAUUUUCAAAGAAUGAGCUUUGGGGAUUUUAUUCUAUCCACUACAAUUUUUGUUUCCUAAUUUAUUAAUUUUACCUUUCGCUUUUCUUAAUUGUUUUCUCCUAGUUUCUUGGUUCCUCUCGUUGUACUUUUUCAAAACAAUUUCAGAUGAAUACUUAAUUUCUUUAACAUUCAUAGUAUUUUUAAAAUAAUUUUUAAAAAGAUUUAUUUAGUUAUCCACUUAUAUAUUUUAAAAGCAGAGUUAGAGAGAGAAGGAGAGACAGAGAGAGAGAGAGAGAGAGAGAGAGAGAGAGAGAGAGAUCUUAUAUCUGUUAGUUCACUCACCAAAUGUCACAACGGCUAGGACUGGGCCAGAUCAAAGCUAGGAGCUUCUUUCAGGUCUCCCACAUGGGUAGAGAGAGGCACAAGGACUUGAGCCAUCUUCUGCUGCUUUUCCAGGCACAUUAGCAAGGAGCUGGAUUGGAAGUCAAGCAACCAAGACUUGAAGCUCUGCCCAUAUGGGAUUCUGGCAUCUCAGGAGGCAGCUUUAUCCACCAUGUCACCAUGCUGGCCCUCAAAAUAAAGAUAUUUAUGACCACA
ensembl:lncRNA